rnacentral:rRNA from 1 species
AACGAACGCUGGCGGCGUGCCUAACACAUGCAAGUCGUGCGAGAAAGUUCCUUCGGGAGCGAGUAAAGCGGCGCACGGGUGAGUAACACGUAGGUAACCUGCCUCCCAGUCUGGAACAACUAGAGGAAACUCUAGCUAAUGCCGGAUGAGACCACGAUCCCUUCGGGGGUUGCGGCCAAAGAUGGCCUCUACUUGUAAGCUAUCGCUGAGGGAUGGGCCUGCGGGCCAUUAGCUUGUUGGUGAGGUAACGGCUCACCAAGGCUGUGAUGGCUAGCUGGUCUGAGAGGAUGACCAGCCACACUGGGACUGAGACACGGCCCAGACUCCUACGGAGGCAGCAGUGGGGAAUAUUGCGCAAUGGGCGAAAGCCUGACGCAGCGACGCCGCGUGGGUGAUGAAGGCCU